rnacentral:misc_RNA from 1 species
AACGCACAUUGCGCCCUUUGGUAUUCCAAAGGGCUUGCCUGUUCGAGCGUCGUUUGUACCCUCAAGCUUUGCUUGGUGUUGGGCGUUCUUGUCUCUGGUCCGCCAGCGACUCGCCUUAAAAUCAUUGGCAGCCGGCCUACUGGUUUCGGAGCGCAGCACAAAUUUGCGCUUCUUCCAGCAGCGGUCCGCGUCCAUGAAGCCACUUUUUCAACGUUUGACCUCGGAUCAGGUAGGGAUACCCGCUGAACUUAA